AGGACGAACGCUGGCGGCGUGCCUAAAACAUGCAAGUCGAACGAGUCAACUGAGCUUGCUUAGUUGACGAGUGGCGUACGGGUGAGUAACACGUGAACAACCUACCGCUUUGUGGGGGAUACCUGUUCGAAAGGACAGUUAAUACCGCAUAGUGCGCAGUUCCUGCCUGGGAAUUGCGGGAAAGCCCUCGGGCGCAGAGUGAGGGGUUCGCGACCUAUCAGUUAGUUGGCAGGGUAAUGGCCUACCAAGACGACGACGGGUAGCCGGCCUGGAGAGGGUGAACGGCCACACUGGGACUGAGACACGGCCCAGACUCCGUACGGGGGGCAGGCAGGUUGGGAAUCGUUGCGCAAGUGGGGGAAACCUGACGCAGCGACGCCGCGUGCGGGAUGACGCAGUUCGGGUUGUAAACCGCUUUCCGUGGAGACGAUGAUGACGGUAUCCGAAGGAACUAACGCCCCGUACUAACCGUCCGU
rnacentral:rRNA from 1 species